rnacentral:lncRNA from 1 species
AAUGGUAUAGUUAUUCUUAUUUUGUAACUUGUGAAGUUAAUCCAUGAUGCCUGAGGCUGCAAACUCCUUUUACAAUUGGAACGCAGCCAGCUUAAGGAUGGAAGUGCACAGCAUCACUAACCACAGCAGCUCAAGAGAGGAAGCGGAGACCAGCGCUGCAAUGGAGCAGGCAGAGGAAAGGAGAGAUCGAAUGCGAUUGCUACAUUGAAACAUGGCCAUGAACCUCACAGCAAGGAAGUGGCUGUGGCAUGGCAUCAACCGUGAAGCAUGAGGUGCAGGGUUUGACAGUCUCAGAAACAGGGUCUUCCAAAAUAGUGGUCUCAGUUCUGCGUGGGAGGGAAGAGCUCUUGUAAGAGGGUUGCAGAGGCACUUGCUGCAUUUCAGAGGCACUUUCUGGGUUUCCCCUGCAGGCUCAGCUGUGGGUCCUCAGGCAGAGCUGAGUUAGUUCUGUAAUGUAAAACUACAUUUAUUUACAUAAUAACUUUCAGUCUAUCCAGCAAAGCCUUCCUGGAACAGACUAUCAGAUGAAUGUCGAAUAACUUUCUUAAAAGGGAAAAGGGACUUCACGCAAAGCCUUUCAGGAGUCUAGCUCAUAGCAAAUACCGUUGGGAUCUUGCACGGCAACAGUCUGGGUGAAGAACUGGAACAAUUCGAGCGUGCUGUCUCCAGAGAUUACUCAGAAAAAAAAAAGAAAAAGACCUUAUCUGCUUGAGCCCACGCCUGGAAAAGAAAAUGCAUGUAUGUGUCACUCUUUCCCUUCCCUCCCACACAUGCUCCUUCCUGCCGUCGUCCAGAGCCUGGCUGCCGUCCGCCCGGGGCCGAGGGCCGGCUGCAGCACCCAGUUUCUUGAGCAAGUUCUGCUGCGACAACAUACUUUCAAAGAGCACCAGCACAUGGGAGAAGACAAAAAUCUUUCUUAGGUAAGUAGUACAUUGGCUAGUUCAGUGUUAGCAGCCCUUUUCCUUCUGUAUUCACUUUUCCUAUGGAAACUGUUGAGUCCAUAGCUCUAUUAUUCAUCUUCCCCUCUUCCUUCCUGAGGUUGGCUUC